UACGGAGGAUCCAAGCGUUAUCCGGAUUUAUUGGGUUUAAAGGGUGCGUAGGCGGAAUAUCAAGUCAGCGGUAAAAAUUCGGGGCUCAACCCCGUCGUGCCGUUGAAACUGAUGUUCUUGAGUGGGAGAGAAGUACGCGGAAUGCGCGGUGUAGCGGUGAAAUGCUUAGAUAUCGCGCAGAACCCCGAUUGCGAAGGCAGCGUACCGGCUCCACACUGACGCUGAGGCACGAAAGCGUGGGUAUCGAACAGG
rnacentral:rRNA from 1 species